AUGUCUCUCUGGAAAGAGAAAUGCGCGGAUCGAGAGAGCUGCGCGCUGACUGGAAGGAGAGCGAGAGAGAUGGAGGCGGGGGGAAGUCUCUCAGCUCUGCGGGGACUGGAGCGCCCGUGCCCUGGACCGGCGGCGCAGUGCUGGCUAACAUUCAACCCUCCCCUUGUUCCACCACCAGUUCCACACACAAGUCAGCGACAGCCUUUGAAGACCCUGCUGCCAUACGGGCUGCUCACGCCGCGCUCUCACCCCGCAUUCCUCGUCCCUCGAAAGUCGGGGCAAAUAACCAGAUUUCUUCACGGUAAGAGGGCAUUUUGGACGCCGACUACAAACUCUUUUAAACAACAUAUAAUAAAGCUUGAUUUCAGCCGCAUUUUAGGGUUAUUUUUGACGAGUGUUGGUUCGCCUUUCACCAGGGCUUUAAGGGGAUUCAGUGCUGGUUACAGCCGGCUAGCACCGGUGUAGGUCGGUUUAACACUGUAACAUUUUAAUUUCAAUAAACCUACUUUUUAGAUAUCUCUAAGCUAUCAUUUAUAGCACUUUACACGUGUGGUGGACACAAUAAACCGCACCAAUCGUGUAAUUCAAUGAGGUUUUGAUAUGGAAAACGUUACAUUUAAACAAUGGUUUUAAAUAGACCCUUAUAAAUACUUAAACACUUUGACGUGUUUUGAUCUGAACAUAGAGCCCCAGAGCCUUUUUCAGAGCAUUUCUAUCGUAGUUACGCUCUAUUCAGACCAAACGGGGUCUGAUUAUCAUGCCAGCCACCUUUGUUUUUAUUUUUUAGAAACAUUUUAGGGUGGUUAAAAUGCCCUUCAGCCGGGCUCUACUCCGCUGGCUGACGCGCCGCCAUUACACAUGCAGCGCAGCGGCGACGCCUCGCCCUGGAAAAAGCCAUUUUGUGACUAAUUCAGUCGGCGCACACGUUUGCUAAACGACACCAGAUUAUGACUAGCCCUUCAUGUUCAAGUAUUUUUAAAACAGUCGCUAUGAAUCAAAGGGGGCGACCCAGAACGCGUCCGUGGCGGAAGCGGAGCCCCGCGCCCCGUCGGUUUGGAGGCAGUCUCUGGUGCUGCAUGCUGUAGCAGUCACUCAUCAUGAUCCCUGGCUGUGUUUCCCCCUCGCUCUCGACGGAGACCGAAAGCAGAUCCCGAUCCGUGGUCAGCUGGUCCGUCUAGACAAGCGUGUACGUCUGCAGCUGCCUGCCUAUCGCCCAAAACGCUGCUUCCUCCUCCUGUAGUACCUCCCAGUAUCCCCUCGUCCGCCGAAAAUAUACUCCGAUCUCGAAGGACUGCACGAAACGCUCGCCGAGUGCAGGAGAAGCCGUUUCAAGUCUUAGUUGUGUAGACAGAAUGGAAGAUUAGACGGAUUGGCUGCUCUUGCUGGUGUCGACUGCAGAGUUAUUUGAGAUUUGAAACCGUCACAAGCAAUGGGCUCUGUCUCACGAUGGAGCGUGAACGCUUAGGGGCGGUGUAAUCAACAUCAACCAUUAUGAGUCGGGCUGGAUCUUAAUUCCACUCUUCAGGCAGCAAUUCCUUGUUUCGAGACAUUAGCCUACAAAACACCUGCACGGUACUCGUUAAACUUUUAAUAAAGAAAGAGGGGGGAAAAAAAGGAUUUUCACAACAUAAACACGAUAUUCAUUUUUGAGAAAUAUAAUAUACGUUUUUAUUUAAAACUAUUGAUAAUAAACCAGAAACUUGCCAGUCUUGCUUCUUUUUUUGGCGUUGUUCAUACAAGAAAACUUUGGCAAGACAUUUGCCAGUUCAUUGUGAAAUACAUACAUAUUGACUAUGAUCUUUACUUUAAAGUUGUUUUGUUUGGAUUUUUCACUUUUGAGAAGCAAUUUGAAAAUGUUUAUUUUCUUUACAAACUAAUAAUUCACAAAUGCAAGAUUAUGAAAGUUACCCCCCAUUCUAGAAAAUAUUAAGAUCUAUAUUAAAUCCUUGUAUAUCUGUUGUAACAAAACAAACGACAACUAAAACUUUAGAUGUAUGCUCACUUUUUGGUGUUUUUGUAUAAUUUUUGUUUUAUGCGAAAUAUUUAUUUUUAUUUUUAUGUGAUAUAUAAUUUUUUUUCCAUUUAUUUAUAUAUAUUUUUUUAUUUUUAAUCUAAUUUUUUUUUUUGUUAUUUUAUUAUCAUUAUUAUUAUUAUUAUUCUCUCUCUCUUCUGAAUUAUAAUUGCUAUGUAUUUUUUAGCCAUCACUUUUGUGUUCCUUAAAAAAAAACACUAUUGAUAAUAAACUAUUAUAAUGGUAAAGCCAUUGAAGUAUGAGUUUCAACCUCGUAUUACCUCAAUGUUCGUAAUCCUUAAUAUAAAUCUCAACAUUUCAUUUUUCUCUAGAGUGAUUCCCGACAAUGAAUGGAGAAAUGGACUCCUCUG
rnacentral:lncRNA from 1 species